AUGGCGCCGUCAGCCCGGGGUCAGGGUGGCCAUUUGGGGGCUGGUGGCAGCUUUGUGCUCCUGUCUGCAGACGCUGUCAGAGAUGGAUUGGGGACAAUCCUGUGGGGAGGUGCUGAGGGGGGGAGCUAUGACAACUGGCCCCACACCAGGAAAAGCCGGGGGCCGCUGAGCCCAGGCCACCAACGGGAGCUGUGGACCCAGCCUGACCCCUGGGCCAAGGUGCUUUCAGGGCACAGGGGGGAUGCGGGAGCCUGUGGCUGCUGUUGCUUCUGCUCUCAGUUCAUAAACGCACGCUGUGCACAUCCCCUGUGCUUGGCAAGGGGCCUGGAUAGAAGGGCCAGUGAGGAGACGCCCAUCCUCCAGGCACUGUGCCUCCUCCCAAAGGCCAGCAGCCCUGAGCAUCACUGUGCCCUCCCCACAAAGGUCAGCAGCCCCGGCCCCGAGCAUCACUGUGCCCUCCCCACAAAGGUCAGCACCCCGAGCAUCACUGUGCCCUCCCCACAAAGGUCAGCACCCCGAGCAUCACUGUGCCCUCCCCACAAAGGUCAGCACCCCAAGCAUCACUGUGCCCUCCCUCCCAAAGGUCAGCACCCUGAGCAUCACUGUGCUCUCCCCACAAAGGUCAGCACCCCGAGCAUCACUGUGCCCUCCCCACAAAGGUCACCACAGAUGUCCCUGAGCUCCGCAGCACGUGGGUCCAAUACAGAUGUGGCAGGUUUGUCUGUUGGGGAGUGGCCUGGCUGGCAGCUGUGGGGAGAAGGCCAGGACGGGGCACAGCAGAGGCCUCACCUGCCCAGCGGGGGCUCUGGGGCUGGGGCGGCUCCACAGAGAUUGCCCAAGUCCAGAGCUUGCGUCCUAUGCAGCUGUCAUGGGGCACAGGGCCCCUGGGUUACUGGCAGGUCCGUCAGCCACAGCCACUGCCCCAUCCAGGGCCUGUUGGAUUUGCAGAGGCCAGACUGACUGGGGGAGGCCAGGCCCCUCUGCACCCCUCAGGAUUUGUGUGGGGGCCGGCCUCUGCCGUCCACCUGGGGCAUGACAAUGCAUUUGAUUCACUGUCUCUCUGUGUCACUGUCUCUAUGUCUGUCUUUAUCUCACUGUCUCUAG